CCUACGGGUGGCUGCAGUGGGGAAUAUUGGACAAUGGGCGAAAGCCUGAUCCAGCCAUGCCGCGUGUGUGAAGAAGGCCUUCGGGUUGUAAAGCACUUUCAGUGGGGAAGAAAGCCUUGGGGCGAAUACCCUCGAGGAAGGACAUCACCCACAGAAGAAGCACCGGCUAACUCCGUGCCAGCAGCCGCGGUAAUACGGAGGGUGCGAGCGUUAAUCGGAAUUACUGGGCGUAAAGCGCGCGUAGGCGGUCUGAUAAGCCGGUUGUGAAAGCCCCGGGCUCAACCUGGGAACGGCAUCCGGAACUGUCAGGCUAGAGUGCAGGAGAGGAAGGUAGAAUUCCCGGUGUAGCGGUGAAAUGCGUAGAGAUCGGGAGGAAUACCAGUGGCGAAGGCGGCCUUCUGGACUGACACUGACGCUGAGGUGCGAAAGCGUGGGUAGCAAACAGGAUUAGAUACCCUGGUAGUC
rnacentral:rRNA from 1 species